rnacentral:lncRNA from 1 species
GGGAAGUGAAAGUAGAAACAGAAACUGCAGCUGAUUCUAGAAGUACAGCAGUAAGGGAAGGAAAUACAUGCCUUCAAAUUCAGCAAAAUAAGCAGAUUCAUUUUAAGGAUGAGGACAAGUUAGACAGGUUUGUAAGCUAAAAGAGAACAGCCACGACAGAGGAUACAGUGAAGAUUCAAAAAACGGUGGUGAAUAUUGAAAAGGCGUUGGAGGACACAUAAUAGAAUGCAAAGUCCACAAGGAGAGGGGCUUUGUGUCUUGUUUCACACUGUGUCCCCAGGCUUAGAAUAUUCUGGCAUCAGAAGGCACUCAGUAAACAUAGAGAGGAAGAAAGGAAGAAGAUGAAAUCAGGAGUACAGAUUAAAGUGUUAUCUUUGGAAGACAGGCAAGACAUCCUUUGGGACAGAAGGGAAGGAGAGAAAGCUGGGGAACAUGCAGAUAAUACAAGAGACUGAAUCCAGACAACUUUGGACAUUCCUUCAUUUGAAGAAUUUUUACUGAACAAUUACAGACCAUUGAUUGAUACAGUGAAGAUCAGAAUGGCAUAGUUUUCCUGUCUUCAUGGAGAUGAAUGAAUGAACUGUAUUUUUUAUUAGCCUAAGCAUGAAUUCUUCCCAAAUUUCCUCCAUGAACCAUAGGAUCCUACCUCUUAACCAUUUUAUGAAAAUUCUAUGGUGAAUUGAGGUCCUCAAGUUGUCUGACAAUAUCUGAUUUUGCCACGGUCAUGUGGGAAAAGUAGGCAUGUGAGCAAGUCAUAGUUUUACUUGUUUGGAAGAUUCUUCUAAUUAUGUCAAGAUGAAAGGUUUUAUACUGUGUAGAAGGCAGUGUGAGAGAAGUGGACAGUAGAACUCCUAUUUGGUGGGCCAGUGGCUAUAUUUUAAAAUAUGAAGGAUACAUAUUUGACUGUUUAAGUACAAUGAUCUGCCAUGGAUCUAUACUUUUGGGCUGCUGUCUUUUAGGCUAAAGCAAUUAAAGGCAAUGUAAUGAACAUGGUUAUCUGUGGAUGCCCCUUUGAUUGCCAUUGUAUUAUGCUUUACACUGUGAUGGCUCUCUCUUUGAGGAGAGACGCUGUUCCUCCAGGGAGAUAAAAUAUAAAAUAUGAAUCUUACCCUUAAGCAUACACUUCUCCCCACUCUCAAUAUACAGUGGCUCUGGAAUUCAUGCUUCACUUGGGAGUUGAAAGUUUGCGUUUAUAAUUUUAUAUUCUUAUUACAGGCCAGGCUAUUGAGAUUAGAAAGUCUUUAUUUUUCAGUUGGAGUGUGAUGAGCCAUAUUCCCUAUUGUAAACAGCCAUAUUAACCAAGAUAAUUUAAUUUGGAAUGAUUGCUUUUUGCCUUUGAGCUGUAGAUCAAAAGGUUCCAUUAUAUGUACAAAUAAAGUAAAAAAAAAUUUUUUCUGUGAAUGUUACAAAAUUUUUUUAUUGUGGUAAAAAACACGUAAGAUCUUUCCUCUUAAAUUUUGGGUGUAUGGUACAGCAUUGUUAACUAUAAGCAUAAUGUUGUAGAGCAGAUCUGUGAAAAUUUUGUCUCUUGUAUGAUUAAAACUUUAUGCUCACGGAACAGCAAUUUUCCCAUUUGUCCCUCUUCCUAGCAUCUAGAAACCAUAAUUUUACUCUAUAUUUCCAUGAGUUUGACUAUUUUAGAUACUUCACAUAGUGGAAUCAAGUACUAUUUGUCUUUCUUGUACUGGCGUAUUUCACUUGGCAUAAUGUCCUCAAGGUAUAUCUAUGUAACAGAAUUUUCUUCUUUUUAUGGCUGAAUAAUAUUCUAUUGUAUAAAUAUAUAGUACAUUUUCUUUAUCCAUACAUAUUGCUGAUAAACUUUUAGGUUGUUUCUAAUUCUUUUCUUUUUUUGAGACGGAAUCUCGCUCUGUCACCCAGGCUGGAGUUCAGUGGCGUGAUCUCGGCUCACUGCAAGCUCGCCGUCCUGGGUUCACGCCAUUCUCCUGCCUCUGCCUCCGGAGUAGCUGGGAUUACAGGCACCUGCCUGCCACCGCGCUCGGCUAAUUUUUUUAUUUAUUUAUUUUUAGUAGAGAUGGUGUUUCACCAUGUUAGCCAGGAUGGUCUCAAUCUCCUGACCUCGUGAUCUGCCCGCCUCGGCCUCCCAAAAUGCUGGGAUUACAGGCAUGAGCCACCGCUCCCGACCAGUUGUUUCUAAUUCUUAUCUAUUGUGAAUAAUGCUGCAAUGAACACGGAAGGGCAAAUAUCUUCCAUGUCCUGAUUUCAGCUCUUUUGGAUAAAUGCCCAGAAGUGGGAUUGCUGGAUCAAAUGGUAGUUUUUAUUUUUAAUUUUUCUAUCAAUCUCUAUGCUGUUUUUUUUAUAGUGGCAACAUCAUUUUAUAUUCUUACCAGUAGUGCACACGGUUCAAAUUUUUCCACAUCCUUGCCAACACUUUAUUUUUUUAAUUUUUAAUUUUUUAUAAUGACCAUCAUAAUGAGUGUGAGAUGAUACCUCAGUGUGGUUUUGAUUUGCAUUUCUCUAAUGAUUAGUGAAGAAUGUCUUUUCAUAUGCCUGUCGGUCAUUUGUAUCUCUUCUUUGAAGAUAGUUAUUUUUAUUUUUAUUUUCUGCUAUUGAGUUUCUUGUAUAUUUUUAUAUUAACCCCCUGUCAGAUAUAUGGUUUACAAAUAUUUUCUCUCAUUCUGUAGGUUGCUUUUGUACUCGGUUGAUUAUUUCCUUCACUAUGCAGAAGAUUUUUAGUUUCUGGCUUUUUCAUUUGAUGUAAAUCCAUUUGUCUAUUUUUGCUUUUGUUACUUGUGCUUUUGGUGUCAUAUCCAAGAAUUAAUUGCCAAGACAAAUGUUAUGAAAAUUUUACCCUAUGUUGCCUUCUUGGAGUUUUAUAAAUUCAUGUCUUAUGUUUAAGUCUUUAAUCUAUUUUGAGUUGAUUUUUGUGCAUGAUAUAAAAUAAGGAUCCAAUUUUAUUCUUUUUGAAUGUGAAUAUCUAGUUUUUCCAGCACCAAUUUUUUGAUACUAUCCUUUUCCCAUUGUGUACUCUUGGCAUCCUGUCAAAGAUCAUUUGACUGUAUAUGUGUGGGUUUAUUUCUGGACUCUCAGUAUUGUUCCAUUAGCCUAUAUGUCUAUCUUUAUUCCAGUACCAUGGUCUUUUGAUGACUAUAGCUUUGUAAUAUGUUCUAAAGUUAAAAAGUUUGAGGCCUCCAGUUUUGCUCUUUUUGUCAAGAUUGUUUAGGCUACUUUGGGGUCAUUUGUACUUCUGUACAAUUUUUAGAAUUGUUUUGUCAAUUUCUGCAAAAAAUGUCACUAUGACUUUAAUAGGAAUUGCAUUAAAUGUGUAGACUUUGGGUGGUAUGGACAUUUGAACAAUGUCUUCUAAUCCAUGAACGUGGGAAGUCUUUCCAUUUAUUUGUGUCUUCUUUUCUUUUUUUAACUUUUUUGAGAUUAUGUUGUGCUCUUCAUUGCCAAAAAU